rnacentral:rRNA from 1 species
GAUGAACGCUGACAGAAUGCUUAACACAUGCAAGUCUACUUGAUCCUUCAGGUGAUGGUGGCGGACGGGUGAGUAACGCGUAAAGAACUUGCCCUGCAGUCUGGGACAACAUUUGGAAACGAAUGCUAAUACCGGAUAUUAUGUGAGUUUCGCAUGAAAUUCAUAUGAAAGCUAUAUGCGCUGCAGGAGAGCUUUGCGUCCUAUUAGCUAGUUGGUGAGGUAACGGCUCACCAAGGCGAUGAUAGGUAGCCGGCCUGAGAGGGUGAACGGCCACAAGGGGACUGAGACACGGCCCUUACUCCUACGGGAGGCAGCAGUGGGGAAUAUUGGACAAUGGACCAAAAGUCUGAUCCAGCAAUUCUGUGUGCACGAUGAAGUUUUUCGGAAUGUAAAGUGCUUUCAGUUGGGACGAAGUAAGUGACGGUACCAACAGAAGAAGCGACGGCUAAAUACGUGCCAGCAGCCGCGGUAAUACGUAUGUCGCAAGCGUUAUCCGGAUUUAUUGGGCGUAAAGCGCGUCUAGGCGGUUUGGUAAGUCUGAUGUGAAAAUGCGGGGCUCAACUCCGUAUUGCGUUGGAAACUGCCAAACUAGAGUACUGGAGAGGUGGGCGGAACUACAAGUGUAGAGGUGAAAUUCGUAGAUAUUUGUAGGAAUGCCGAUGGGGAAGCCAGCCCACUGGACAGAUACUGACGCUAAAGCGUGAAAGCGUGGGUAGCAAACAGG